rnacentral:lncRNA from 1 species
ACGAUAAGGCCUUAUUAUUUGUUGUAUUUGUAAUUCUAUUAGCUGUAUAUUUAUCUUAGACUUAGAGUUAUAGUCAAACACUGUAAACACUGCAUAUAAUUACCUAUUCAGCUAAUGAGAAAAUAAGCCUCUUCACCAAAACUGUAUAUGGUAUCAGAGCCCAUCUAGGGUUAAUUACCAUGAGUUCAAGUAGUGAGAUCUCAGAUACGACAACCCCUUCUAUUUCUUCUACUUCUCCUGCUCGUGAAUCUUCGAUUACUCCUUCUGUC